GCUCUGGAAAGUGCGGCCAUAGUGGGUGAUAGCCCCGUACGCGAAAGGAUCUUUGAAGUGAAAUCGAGUAGGACGGAGCACGAGAAACUUUGUCUGAACAUGGGGGGACCAUCCUCCAAGGCUAAAUACUACUGACUGACCGAUAGUGAACCAGUACCGUGAGGGAAAGGCGAAAAGAACCCCGGAGAGGGGAGUGAAAUAGAACCUGAAACCGUAUGCGUACAAGCAGUGGGAGCCUACUUGUUAGGUGACUGCGUACCUUUUGUAUAAUGGGUCAGCGACUUAUAUUCAGUGGCAAGCUUAACCGUAUAGGGUAGGCGUAGCGAAAGCGAGUCUUAAUAGGGCGUUUAGUCGCUGGGUAUAGACCCGAAACCGGGCGAUCUAUCCAUGAGCAGGUUGAAGGUUAGGUAACACUGACUGGAGGACCGAACCCACUCCCGUUGAAAAGGUAGGGGAUGACUUGUGGAUCGGAGUGAAAGGCUAAUCAAGCUCGGAGAUAGCUGGUUCUCCUCGAAAGCUAUUUAGGUAGCGCCUCAUGUAUCACUCUGGGGGGUAGAGCACUGUUUCGGCUAGGGGGUCAUCCCGACUUACCAAACCGAUGCAAACUCCGAAUACCCAGAAGUGCCGAGCAUGGGAGACACACGGCGGGUGCUAACGUCCGUCGUGAAAAGGGAAACAACCCAGACCGCCAGCUAAGGUCCCAAAGUUGUGGUUAAGUGGUAAACGAUGUGGGAAGGCUUAGACAGCUAGGAGGUUGGCUUAGAAGCAGCCACCCUUUAAAGAAAGCGUAAUAGCUCACUAGUCGAGUCGGCCUGCGCGGAAGAUGUAACGGGGCUCAAACCACACACCGAAGCUGCGGGUGUCACGUAAGUGACGCGGUAGAGGAGCGUUCUGUAAGCCUGUGAAGGUGAGUUGAGAAGCUUGCUGGAGGUAUCAGAAGUGCGAAUGCUGACAUGAGUAACGACAAUGGGUGUGAAAAACACCCACGCCGAAAGACCAAGGGUUCCUGCGCAACGUUAAUCGACGCAGGGUUAGUCGGUUCCUAAGGCGAGGCUGAAAAGCGUAGUCGAUGGGAAACAGGUUAAUAUUCCUGUACUUCUGGUUACUGCGAUGGAGGGACGGAGAAGGCUAGGCCAGCUUGGCGUUGGUUGUCCAAGUUUAAGGUGGUAGGCUGAAAUCUUAGGUAAAUCCGGGGUUUCAAGGCCGAGAGCUGAUGACGAGUCGUCUUUUAGAUGACGAAGUGGUUGAUGCCAUGCUUCCAAGAAAAGCUUCUAAGCUUCAGGUAACCAGGAACCGUACCCCAAACCGACACAGGUGGUCGGGUAGAGAAUACCAAGGCGCUUGAGAGAACUCGGGUGAAGGAACUAGGCAAAAUGGCACCGUAACUUCGGGAGAAGGUGCGCCGGCUAGGGUGAAGGAUUUACUCCGUAAGCUCUGGCUGGUCGAAGAUACCAGGCCGCUGCGACUGUUUAUUAAAAACACAGCACUCUGCAAACACGAAAGUGGACGUAUAGGGUGUGACGCCUGCCCGGUGCCGGAAGGUUAAUUGAUGGGGUUAGCGCAAGCGAAGCUCUUGAUCGAAGCCCCGGUAAACGGCGGCCGUAACUAUAACGGUCCUAAGGUAGCGAAAUUCCUUGUCGGGUAAGUUCCGACCUGCACGAAUGGCGUAACGAUGGCGGCGCUGUCUCCACCCGAGACUCAGUGAAAUUGAAAUCGCUGUGAAGAUGCAGUGUAUCCGCGGCUAGACGGAAAGACCCCGUGAACCUUUACUGUAGCUUUGCACUGGACUUUGAGCCUGCUUGUGUAGGAUAGGUGGGAGGCUUUGAAGCGUGGACGCCAGUUCGCGUGGAGCCAUCCUUGAAAUACCACCCUGGCAUGCUUGAGGUUCUAACUCUGGUCCGUGAUCCGGAUCGAGGACAGUGUAUGGUGGGCAGUUUGACUGGGGCGGUCUCCUCCUAAAGAGUAACGGAGGAGUACGAAGGUGCGCUCAGACCGGUCGGAAAUCGGUCGCAGAGUAUAAAGGCAAAAGCGCGCUUGACUGCGAGACAGACACGUCGAGCAGGUACGAAAGUAGGUCUUAGUGAUCCGGUGGUUCUGUAUGGAAGGGCCAUCGCUCAACGGAUAAAAGGUACUCCGGGGAUAACAGGCUGAUACCGCCCAAGAGUUCAUAUCGACGGCGGUGUUUGGCACCUCGAUGUCGGCUCAUCACAUCCUGGGGCUGAAGCCGGUCCCAAGGGUAUGGCUGUUCGCCAUUUAAAGUGGUACGCGAGCUGGGUUUAGAACGUCGUGAGACAGUUCGGUCCCUAUCUGCCGUGGACGUUUGAGAUUUGAGAGGGGCUGCUCCUAGUACGAGAGGACCGGAGUGGACGAACCUCUGGUGUUCCGGUUGUCACGCCAGUGGCAUUGCCGGGUAGCUAUGUUCGGAAAAGAUAACCGCUGAAAGCAUCUAAGCGGGAAACUUGCCUCAAGAUGAGAUCUCACUGGGAACUUGAUUCCCCUGAAGGGCCGUCGAAGACUACGACGUUGAUAGGCUGGGUGUGUAAGCGUUGUGAGGCGUUGAGCUAACCAGUACUAAUUGCCCGUGAGGCUUGACCA
rnacentral:rRNA from 1 species